UAAGAAUGAAGAGACAGAUGUGAGAUGGAGAAAAGCUGAAUCUAUAGAGUCACCAUUCGCAACAGGUUACAUCGUUGGAAUGAGCUUCACCUGGCUACGUUGCUGAGAACUCUCAACAAUCCCCGAUGUUAGCAAUGUCGGCCAACGCAUCAUCCUUCGUUGUCGAUUGCGGAGUUUGACUGGAUAGCUGACGUCAAAGAGAGAGGG
rnacentral:lncRNA from 1 species